ensembl:lncRNA
GCCUAAAACGCAUGGUUAACUGAGGUAGAGAGUGAAAAUAACACGUGUGGAUUCAGGUUUUCCAAACAUCUGUAGUAUUUAAUAAUUUCAGAGAGUGUGAAGUGAAAGCGCAUUUUAUACAUAAAAUCAAAUACAAGUCUUUUUACAGGAGGGAAACAUUUCUAUACUAAUUCUUUAUUUGUUGUGCCAAUGUAAAAAAACCUACACACUGCUAGUGAUAAAACAAUAUCCAAGUUUUAAUUUUGUUUUCUCAAGAAAUGAGAAAAAAGAAUUUUUAUGACAAUAAUUGAACAUUUCUUCCUGUUUUUAUUAAGAAGUCACCUGAAAUUGAGAAAUAUCAUCAAAGCUAAAGAGUUGUCUGGAGCCAAAAGACUUAAUAAAAAUUCAAUGAAUUACUGUUAAUGAGGUGAAUGUGUAAAAAUAUCCAUUAUUGAACAGAUUUGACCUUUAAAUACUCGUAGUUUCCACAUUGAGACAAUAUGAAAAACAAAUGUCCAAAAUAAAUAAAUAAAUAUGAAAAGCCUACUUUAACAGCAUAAAUAAGCAAACUUACAGCAAUAACAACAGACUUUCUAGCUCUUCCUACAAAAAAUAGUUAGUGGAGAGGAGAGGAGAGGAAAACACUUGAGGUAUUUUUUUAUCCCCCUAACAUAUCCUCUAACUGUAAUUCUUCCGACUUUUUUCUGUGUGACAGAUUCCUGGAUUCACAUAAAUAUUAUGUGCAUCACAAAUUAAGUGGUAUGUAAAACUACUACACAACCAAAACAGUUAAGCAACUAACAAAGAUACAAAAAAAAAUCGUUAAUGAUUUUUUUUUUCUUCAAACAAAUGGGUCUUUCCUGGGAAAGGCCAGCAUAUAUCCUUAACAUUUCAUUUCUAACAUACAAAACAUGCCCUAUGGUGAUGUGUAGUUAAGAAUUUAAAAAGAUGAGUGGGAAUCUAUGCAAAAAGAAGACUCAAUAACCAAGGUAACACUGAAAGAGCCAAAGCCCACUCAAAACAUGAACUAACUUGCCUCGUUCUUCACUUUAUCUCAAGUUUUGGGGAGAAGGAAAUGAGAUAAGUAACUAUGUCAACUAGCUAUUGUUUUAUGAUUCUUAACACAGAUUCAGAAUAUACAGAAACUUACCUUCAAGAAAGUUAAGUCAAAUGAACUCAAGAAUUUCAUGCCCAACAAAGUCAAGCUACAUACAGCAAAGUGAAAGAGUGAAUUUGGGUUGUAUACACACACUCUUCGCUGAGGUAUCAGUGUAGUGGUUAUAUGAGAUUCACCAGAUAACCUGCUUGCUUACUGUUUGUUUUGUUUUGUUUUUUUGGUACCGGAGAUCGAACUCGGGACCUUGUGCUUGUGAGGCAGGUGGCGGAACCACUGAGCUAAAUCCCUGGCAACUUGCUUACUUUUUGUAUGGUGAUUUCAGUCUCUCUUUUGAGAUCUUUGAGAGUCAAAUAUCACAACACAACAGCUGCAAUAUCAGGAGCUCAAAGCAAGCCCUAACUAUACAAUUAGCCCAUGGUAUGUUUCCCCUUCUAUAGUGCCUUGAUGUUACUGCAGACAGGUGUCACAGCCUAAAGUAGGUUUUGGUCAUUCUGGAAUGGCUACAUGGCUACUGAGAAGAUAAAGGCUAUCAUGCUAUCUUGUUUUCUACUUGGAUGACUAAAAGGUUGUAGCCUCCAUUAAAGAUCCAUUUGUCUCAUUAUUGGUGUAUUUCACCAAUAUUAAUUUUUUUAAAAAGGACCUGUAUACAUGUGUAGCAUAAUUACAGGGGUAGUUAUGGUGUGGAAAAUGAUAAAAAUUGCUUCAUUAAAACAGAUCUAUAAUAGCUUUAUAUUUUUCAACCAAAUAGAUAUGUUUUAAUUUAAAAACUAAAGAGUAGAAAAGAGCUGCAGAAAACUUUUCCUAUCAUCUUUCCAACACACACAUAUUCCUAUCCUUCUCUACAUAUGACCUAAACUCUUGAUCUGGCAGCAGAAGCCAGAAGUUACACAGAAUAAUCACACAAAGUGUCCAACUGGAACUCAGCUCCUCUCACCAAUAUCUUGCACACAGUAAGGAACCACAGGUCUGUCCGUGAAGAGACUGUCUGAUCAGAUAGUUGCAAAGAAGAAUCACAUACAACUUACAACUUAAUCUGAAAAUCACUGUGCUAUAAAAGUCAAAAUAGUCAUGUUUUCAGAGUAAAGGAACCAAAUAUUUCUACAUUGUUAAUCCAUCUGCUUUUCCAGUGUAAAAAAACAAAACUCUCCAAAAAAACAAAAACCACAAAAUAAUUCUAUCUCAUUCUAGGUAAAACAACUCACUGUCUUUUGCAAUAAAGACAGCUAUAUACUAAACAUUAGAUAGAAUGAACACCUGAGGAAUCUCUUCAAGUUUCUUUAGGAGGUUUAUGGUAUACAAAGCGUUCACUAUCCACUGACAGAACAAAAUGAGAAAUGAAGGAAAUAAAAAAGCACAUGUGAUUAACUUAUGAGAGUAAUGAUAAGCUUCCAGGAAACCUGAGUUCUCAAAUACUGCUUAACUGGUAAUGAAAGAAUCAUAAUUACCAUGUCAUUAUCCAUGAAGAAGUCAGAAAAAAAAU